AACAAACGCUGGCGGCGUGCCUAACACAUGCAAGUCGUACGAGAAAGGGUCCUUCGGGGUCUGAGUAAAGUGGCGCACGGGUGAGUAACGCGUGGAUAAUCUGCCCUUCAGUUGGGAACAACUCAUCGAAAGGUGGGCUAAUACCGAAUAACACUGUGAGACUUUGGUCGAACAGUCAAAGAGAGCCUCUGCUUGCAAGCCCUCGCUGAAGGAUGAGUCCGCGUACCAUUAGCUAGUUGGCAGGGUAAUGGCCUACCAAGGCGACGAUGGUUAAGUUGUCAGGAAGGGUGGUAAGCCACACUGAAACUGAGAUACGGUCCAGACUCCUACGGGAGGCAGCAGUGAGGAAUCUUGCGCAAUGGGGGAAACCCUGACGCAGCAACGCCGCGUGAGUGGGGAAGGUCUUCGGAUCGUAAAGCUCUGUCAGUUGGGAAGAAAUGCCCGAGGGUUAAUAUCCCUCAGGCUUGACGGUACCAACAGAGGAAGCACCGGCUAACUCCGUGCCAGCCGCCGCGGUAAGAC
rnacentral:rRNA from 1 species